UUAGAAGCGCAUGAAGAGAUUCAAAGCCUUCGGAGGGCAGUUUUCUCUGAAGGAAUUACAGGAACCCAGUUGACGCUGUCGGAGGAAAACUUUUGGUAAGUCAGUUAUGUUUGGUUUUCUCUGUUCAAGACAGCUACUACCACUUAAACACCGGAGGACCCAUUUGGGAUUUCUUCAGCAAAAUGGUUUCUUUAUUGUCAAAUCGUUUACAUCAGUAGGCAGUUUACCUGAAUCUAAUCAAAAACCAGAAGAGGAGGAAAAACAUUCUUUUGCAGUGUCUUAUCUCAUAAACUCUUGUGGGUUGUCCACAAAAUCUGCUAUUUUAAGAUCCCGGAGGCUACUAUUUCAGAGCCCAGAGAGACCAGACUCGGUGUUGAAUCUUUUCAAAGAGAAUGGAUUCAACAAUGCCCAGAUCUCCAAAAUUGUUAGGAUGCAUCCCCUAAUUCUUUUAUCUGAUCCUGAGUAGACCCUUUUGCCCAAGAUUGAGUUUUUGCGUUCCAUAGGGGUUUCGAGCUCUGACCUCAUUGCCAUCAUCUCUUCAUACCCAUUUCUGUUCAGAUGCAACUUAAGGAAACGUGUUAUCCCCUGUGCUAUGAUUUCCUCAAGAGUGUACUUCUUGUUGACGAGAAAGUCCUGACAACUGUCAAGCGCUCACCACGAGCUUUUCUAAGUAAUGUAACGAAAACUAUGGCUCCUAACAUUGCACUUUUGAGACAACUUGGAGCGCCUCCAUCUACAAUCUCUUUCCUGGUAACUAAUUAUCUCUCUUCAGCUUUUAUUAAGCACACUAAGUUUGUUGAGGCUGUCCACCAGGUUAUGGAAAUGGGAUUCGAUCCAAUGAAAACGGCGUUUGUCGAGGCAAUCCAGGUGUUACUGAAGAAGAGUAAACCAAAGCUGGAAUGAAAAUUUGAGCUUUAUAGGAGGUGGGGUUGGUCAAAGGACAUGGCCCUCGCAGCAUUUAAAAGGUUUCCAAAUUGUAUGCUAUCUUCAGAAGAGAAGAUGACGAAAACAAUGGAUUUCCUUCUGAACAAAGUUGGUUGGCCACCAAAACAUAUUUCUACAAAUCCUGUAGUUAUAAAAUUAAGCUUGGAAAAGAGAAUUAUUCCUCGGUGGACGGUUGUUCAAAUUUUGCAAGCCAAGGGUUUGGUCAAGAAUAACUUGGCCUUGGGGACUUUCUUGAAACCGACUGAGAGGAAGUUUUUGGAGCUGUUUGUGAUCAGAUUUCAGGACGAUGUUCCUGAAUUAUUGAAUGUAUAUCAGGGUAAGAUGUCUUCUGGAUGUAGGAUUUCAGUCUAAGCCUCUAGUUUUCGUUCUUGAUUAUGAAGUCAUUGUGCAUAAAUGUGUGUGAAAGUGCUGGAGUUGGUUGGAAAUGCAGCUCGUGACAACAAGAACUGCUGGCUGUGAGGAACGAUGAAGACCUUGGGAAGUUACUGUUGCUCAUGGUGUUGUCUUUCCCAAUAUCAACCCUGUUCCCUUGCCCAAGAAGACGGCAGAAAAAGCUGCCGAAGGGCCCUAGUCUCCAUCCUGGGCCACCAAGUCUCUAAAGAAGCCUUAGCUUUCUCUAGUCAAUCGAGUUGCUUCUUUUUCAUUUGUAUGCAAUCUGGGAGUAGGAUGGGGAAAAUUGAUGAAUUUGAAAGAUCUUGUGACCUCUUUGUUAGGAUUUUCUCUGAAAUUAAUGGAUGAAACCACUUGUUUCAUUA